rnacentral:rRNA from 1 species
UGGGGAAUUUUGGACAAUGGGCGCAAGCCUGAUCCAGCAAUGCCGCGUGAGUGAAGAAGGCCUUCGGGUUGUAAAGCUCUUUUGUCAGGGAAGAAACGGUUGCAGCUAAUAUCUGUGACUAAUGACGGUACCUGAAGAAUAAGCACCGGCUAACUACGUGCCAGCAGCCGCGGUAAUACGUAGGGUGCAAGCGUUAAUCGGAAUUACUGGGCGUAAAGCGUGCGCAGGCGGUUGUGCAAGACAGAUGUGAAAUCCCUGGGCUUAACCUAGGAAUUGCAUUUGUGACUGCACGGCUAGAGUGUGUCAGAGGGGGGUAGAAUUCCACGUGUAGCAGUGAAAUGCGUAGAUAUGUGGAGGAAUACCGAUGGCGAAGGCAGCCCCCUGGGAUAACACUGACGCUCAUGCACGAAAGCGUGGGGAGCAAACAGG